rnacentral:rRNA from 1 species
GAGUUUGAUCCUGGCUCAGGAUGAGCGCUAGCGGCGUGCCUAAGGUAUGCAAGUCGAACGGAUGGCUUCGGCCAUUAGUGGCGAACGGUCGAGUAACACGUAGACAACCUGCCGAUCAGUGGGGGAUAACUGCGGGAAACUGCAGCUAAUACCGCAUACGACCGGAAGCGGCAUCGCUUCUCGGUUAAAGGAGCAAUUCGCUGGUCGAUGGGUCUGCGGCCUAUCAGCUCGUUGGUGAGGUAACGGCUCACCAAGGCGACGACGGGUAGCUGGUCUGAGAGGAUGAUCAGCCGGACGGGGACUGAGACACGGCCCAGACUCCUACGGGAGGCAGCAGUGGGGGAAUCUUGGACAAUGGGCGCAAGCCUGAUCCAGCCAUGCCGCGUGAGUGAAGAAGGCCUUAGGGUUGUAAAACUCUUUCGCCGGAGAAGAUAAUGACGGUAUCCGGAGAAGAAGCCCCGGCUAACUUCGUGCCAGCAGCCGCUGU